AGGCAAUACUGUUGCAUUGUGAAUAGGGAAGCUGGGACAUCGAGCACCAGAAUGGGUAGAGAUCUUCACCACAGUCUGAAGUCACAUGCAGUUGGCACUGAGAAUGAUCUGAGAACACAGAUGGUGAGGUGGAACUGGCUCAUUAUCUUCUAGCAGUUGAGUCUUGCAAGCCUGCCAGAUUCCUCUGUCCAUGGGAUUCUCCAG